rnacentral:lncRNA from 1 species
GCUUCACUUGCAUCACUGUCUUAUGUUGACUUGCAUGUUGUUGGGAAAGUUACUUAAAUUCAGCAAGCUUCAAUUUUCUGUAAAACGAGAUUUAACAGUAAUCAAUAUCUACAUCUUAAGGAUGUUAUGAGGAUGAAAUAUAAUGAUCCACAUAAGCCCUUGCCACAAGGACAAACAUGUUCAGUAUGCAUUGAUUAUUCUAAUAAGAAUAUCCAUCACUUAUAGAAUAAGGUUUUGAAUUUUCUACAAUCUAUUCAAGGAGGUAAAAGAUAUGUUCAAUGAAUGCUGCUUCUUUACCAAACCUCUUGGUAUCUCUUAAUCAUUCAUCCUUUCUUUUUACCGACCCUGGAUCAGCUAAUCCAUUCAUCAAUGCCCAAGAGUCCCUCUGUAUUCAUAGCUCAGACCCCUACCCUCCACACAAAACUGCAGAUCAAAUAUAUGCUUCUAGAAGCUCUGCUCACUGCAGGAUUUUGACUCAUCAUUGUUUUUUAGGGAUACCCUCCUUCCCAUUGAGAGUGAACUUCCAAAGAAGCAGGCUUAAAAACAGCUCUUCCAACUCUAUUGCUGUCUUUCUUAGCAGGGGAGAUAGGCAACAAUAGUCAAAGCUGAUGACACGGUCAAGCCUCAGAGAGAAAAUGGUAGUGGAACUUCCUUGAUAUCUGAUGUUUUAAUUUGUGAUAGUGAUUGAACAGAUUAAAAUCAAAGUUGCCCUAACAAAGUUAGGACUCACUGGUCCCCUCAACAAAAGAAAGGAAAAUUUGAAAACUAAGACCCACUUUAUCAACCCACUUCUCUCAAACAUACCUCUCAUAUUCUCAGUGAAACCACAAAUUUGAGCUUGGAUCUUUCUACACAAUGGUUGGCCUAUUUGUAACACAGGAAUGUAUGGAGUUAUUGACUACAGUUCUAAUCAGGCAACCCCAAAUUCUGCAUUUGCCAACAAGCUAAUGAACAAGGCCAUCUUAGUGGAGAUGGCAUUUGCUCUCUCCCCCAACUGAUUCCCUACAUCACCUUAAAGCAAACCAAGAAAAGCUAAGCUCCAGUUUCCUCAACUACAAAAGGAUUGAAUUGCUUGAUCUAACUCCAACUUUUCCAGCAGUUGUUAUAUUCAUUUUACUAAAGGAAUAGGAGGAGGAUGAGAAAUGUGGAAGAUUGUUCCUGCGCGCAUUUUUUUUUUUUUUGGUAGUA